CUACCCUGACCUGCGAAGUUGCUUCAAAGGAUGUUAGUGUCUGAGCUCAGGGCAUCAGUAUUAUAGCACCUCUCUGUAUUUGCUAGAAUGAAAACAGUAAGGAAAGCAUGUACCAGAAGGAGAUUGAUGCUGGUAAUGUAAUUCACUGUUAUGGCUCUUUAGAGACAGAAUUCCCUGUCUCUAAUUCACAUGUAAUGAUCUUGUCUAAAUUUUGAGAAGAUUGAAUCUAGGAAAACUUUAGGAUCUAGGUAGGGGUUUUUAUUAUUACUUGUUCUGAGAAACAAAUACCUUCUCUUCGUGGGAGCUGACUGACUUCAUUGCAUCUGACAAGGAAAGAGAGUACUUGACCUUCUUGAAAAUAUAGAGAGAAGGAUAAAACACCCUCUGGUGACCCCUACACCUCCAGACUCCUUAUUGCCUCGUGUCUUUUGUGACAGGCAGUGAGGGACCUUCCCAAUAUCUUCAAAUAGCUUUGUUGUCUGGAAGCCCCAGCCAUGGCUGUGUAAUUGCCAAGCUGAGCAGUGAGGGAAACAGUCCUCAUUUUCAGUCCUGGAGGCAGAUCCUGUCUCAGAGUCUCUGGCUGAAUGUUUUUCAUCCAAGCUAACUGACUAAGCAGAACUAGUUCUGACUCUGGUUAAUGGUAUGUCAUUAAUAUGCAAGUCCUCUAAAAUGUUUGCCUACGAAUUGUGAGACUUUGACCCCAAGAUAUCAGAAAUGAUUCCAAUUAGACUAAACACACAUAAUUCACAUAGUUCAGUAUAUGGUGAGGUGUCUUACCAACCCCUUUCUGAUCAUAGCUAUCCUAUGAAUGACAGCAUGUGCAUGUCAUACUGGGAUUUCCAGUUGGCCUCUGUUCAGUACCAAUCUGAUAACGGGAU